rnacentral:rRNA from 1 species
GUGGGGAAUAUUGGGCAAUGGGCGAAAGCCUGACCCAGCAACGCCGCGUGAAGGAAGAAGGUCUUCGGAUUGUAAACUUCUUUGAUCAGGGACGAAAGAAAUGACGGUACCUGAAGAACAAGCCACGGCUAACUACGUGCCAGCAGCCGCGGUAAUACGUAGGUGGCAAGCGUUAUCCGGAUUUACUGGGUGUAAAGGGCGUGUAGGCGGUUCUGCAAGUCAGAUGUGAAAUUCCCGGGCUUAACCCGGGCGCUGCAUCUGAAACUGCAGAACUUGAGUACUGGAGAGGAUAGUGGAAUUCCUAGUGUAGCGGUAAAAUGCGUAGAUAUUAGGAGGAACACCAGUGGCGAAGGCGGCUAUCUGGACAGUAACUGACGCUGAGGCGCGAAAGCGUGGGGAGCAAACAGGAUUAGAAACCCGGGUAGUCC